rnacentral:rRNA from 1 species
AUGAACGCUGGCGGCGUGCCUCAUACCUGCCAGUCGAGCGCACAGACGAGGAGCUUGCUCCUCUGACGUUAGCGGCGGCCGGGUGAGUAACACGUGGAUAACCUACCUAUAAGACUGGGAUAACUUUGGGAAACCGGAGCUAAUACCGGAUAAUAUAUUGAACCGCAUGGUUCAAUAGUGAAAGACGGUUUUGCUGUCACUUAUAGAUGGAUCCGCGCCGCAUUAGCUAGUUGGUAAGGUAACGGCUUACCAAGGCGACGAUGCGUAGCCGACCUGAGAGGGUGAUCGGCCACACUGGAACUGAGACACGGUCCAGACUCCUACGGGAGGCAGCAGUAGGGAAUCUUCCGCAAUGGGCGAAAGCCUGACGGAGCAACGCCGCGUGAGUGAUGAAGGUCUUCGGAUCGUAAAACUCUGUUAUUAGGGAAGAACAAAUGUGUAAGUAACUAUGCACGUCUUGACGGUACCUAAUCAGAAAGCCACGGCUAACUACGUG